GACGAACGCUGGCGGCGUGCUUAACACAUGCAAGUCGAACGGAAAGGCCCUGCUUUUGUGGGGUGCUCGAGUGGCGAACGGGUGAGUAACACGUGAGUAACCUGCCCUUGACUUUGGGAUAACUUCAGGAAACUGGGGCUAAUACCUGAUAGGAGCUCCUGCUGCAUGGUGGGGGUUGGAAAGUUUCGGCGGUUGGGGAUGGACUCGCGGCUUAUCAGCUUGUUGGUGGGGUAGUGGCUUACCAAGGCUUUGACGGGUAGCCGGCCUGAGAGGGUGACCGGCCACAUUGGGACUGGGAUACGGCCCAGACUCCUACGGGAGGCAGCAGUGGGGAAUAUUGCACAAUGGGCGGAAGCCUGAUGCAGCAACGCCGCGUGCGGGAUGACGGCCUUCGGGUUGUAAACCGCUUUCGCCUGUGACGAAGCGUGAGUGACGGUAAUGGGUAAAGAAGCACCGGCUAACUACGUG
rnacentral:rRNA from 1 species